GGCCUUGACAUACUAAGAACUUUCCAGAGAUGGAUUGGUGCCUUCGGGAACUUAGAUACAGGUGCUGCAUGGCUGUCGUCAGCUCGUGUCGUGAGAUGUUGGGUUAAGUCCGCAACGAGCGCAACCCUUUCCUUAUUUGCCAGCGGGUAAUGCCGGGAACUUUAAGGAUACUGCCAGUGACAAACUGGAGGAAGGCGGGGACGACGUCAAGUCAUCAUGGCCCUUACGGCCAGGGCUACACACGUGCUACAAUGGUCGGUACAAAGGGUUGCUACCUCGCGAGAGGAUGCUAAUCUCAAAAAGCCGAUCGUAGUCCGGAUCGCAGUCUGCAACUCGACUGCGUGAAGUCGGAAUCGCUAGUAAUCGCGGAUCAGAAUGCCGCGGUGAAUACGUUCCCGGGCCUUGUACACACCGCCCGUCACACCAUGGGAGUUUGUUGCACCAGAAGUAGGUAGUCUAACCGCAAGGAGGACGCUUACCACGGUGUGGCCGAUGACUGGGGUGAAGUCGUAACAAGGUAGGCGUAGAUGA
rnacentral:rRNA from 1 species